UCCUGCUUCUCCCUCUGCUGGAAUAAUGACUUUGCAGCUUCCUGGGCAUUGGAGUGGAUCCAUAGUGUUAGAUAUGCAGUGGGAAUGGCCCCCAUUCCAAGCCACUUCCUGACCUGAUGGCAGCACCCUGCUAGUCCUCACAUGGAGCCCUGGAGAAGCCGGGUUCCUUAACCCAGAUUUGAAUCAAUAGCCUCACACCUGGUAUGCACAUCCAGGCCAAGUGUGGCUGAAUGGGGAGCAUCUGUUCUGGAGACGGCCACCCUCAUGGGCUCCUCUGCUUCCUGUCCCUUUGGGCACUGAUUUAUGGCACACAGCAGGGAAGGGCCUGAGCUUGAGCCCUGACCAUCGUUAUCAUCA
rnacentral:lncRNA from 1 species